AUUGAACGCUGGCGGCAGGCUUAACACAUGCAAGUCGAACGAGUGGCGGACGGGUGAGUAAUGCUUGGGAAUCUAGCUUAGGGAGGGGGAUAGCUACGGGAAACUGUAGCUAAUACCGCGCAUCAGAGGAUGAGUCCAAGUGGGAUUAGGUAGUUGGUGGGGUAAAGGCUCACAAAGACGACGAACUCUAGCUGGUCUGAGAGGAUGACCAGCCACACUGGGACUGAGACACGGCCCAGACUCCUCCGGGAGGCAGCAGUGGGGAAUAUUGGGCAAUGGGGGCAACCUGACGCAGCCAUGCCGCGUGAGUGAAGAAGGCCUUCGGGUUGUAAAGGUCUUUCGGUAGCGAGGCGUUAACUACAGAAGAAGCACCGGCUAACUCCGUGCCAGCAGCCGCGGUAAUAC
rnacentral:rRNA from 1 species